rnacentral:rRNA from 1 species
UACGUAGGGUGCGAGCGUUAAUCGGAAUUACUGGGCGUAAAGGGCUCGUAGGCGGCCAACUAAGUCAGACGUGAAAUCCCUCGGCUUAACCGGGGAACUGCGUCUGAUACUGGAUGGCUUGAGGUUGGGAGAGGGAUGCGGAAUUCCAGGUGUAGCGGUGAAAUGCGUAGAUAUCUGGAGGAACACCGGUGGCGAAGGCGGCAUCCUGGACCAAUUCUGACGCUGAGGAGCGAAAGCCAGGGGAGCAAACGGG